UCAAAGGGAAGCAAAGAGGUUUCAAGAAUAAUUAAAGCCAGUCAAACUUUGACUGUUGAUUUUUGUGUAAUCAAGAGUUUAGAGAAGAAGUUGCAGGUACAAGUUCUUGAUGUGCAUGGAAAUCAUAAGCAUCCGGAUGGGAGUUUUAGUACACGAGUACUUUCUUAUUUAAGUUAUCUUGAAUUUUAUAUUUGACUUUACUUGACCAAUGGGGUCAAGGUUUGACUUUUGAAUAUGGGACUAGUAUGGGAUAGUCUCGGAGUUUGUAAUUCAUUUACAUACUUUCUUAUUUCUAUUGUAUUAAAGUAUUUCCAGUUUAUUUUAAAA